UUGCAGUGCACCGCAUCACAGAGGAUCCAGGCCCUCAUCCACACUUUUGAAUCCAAGCGUUUCCCGCGUCUAUAAAUAGCGAAGCAUGAACUUCUCAGAGCUCCGUUUGUGUUGUUUCUGAGGAGUGAGGAUUGAGAUUUGAAGAGGACAAAAUGGGGAAGCGAAUGAGAAGAGAGAAGUCCAUUUGCUGCUGCAACUCUCCUCUCGCUGGUUUCUCAUGGUAUGAAGAAGACAUAUGGACAGAGAUUGCAAAGCACCUGGAUGGUAAAUCUCUGGUGAUGCUGGGAACAACAAAUAAGUGGUUCCACUGUCUGAUCAUGGAGGACAGUAUAUGGAAGUUUGCUUGUCUGCGUGAUCUCCAGCUACCAGAACCACAACACACAUUCCUCAAUUGGAUCAAGCUUUAUGCUUCUGCUUUCGAUGGAAGUCACUCUUUCAUGUUCCGUCAGCGGGAGAAACAUAUUGAUUGGAUGCGAAUCGAAUCCAAUUGCGCUCCUAGCUGAGAAGCUGAGUUGCCCCUUGAAAAUCCCACAAGGUGAAAACUUAGGGAAAACAUUGGAGUCAUGCGGCUUCUGCAUAUUGAACAAUAUCAAAACGGGGAUCUGGAUAGCUGAUCUACAACUUGUUAGAUGCCCUGUCUGUGACCUCAACACAUGUGAUGGUAAGCAAGAACCCAUCUAUCAAUAAAUUUGAACUAUUAAAGAGACAUUUAUGUUAAUGCUGGUUGAAGAGUUUGAUUGUAACUUGACACACACUGGGGCUAUUUGAGCUAGUUAGCCUAAUAUAGACAAAAGGCCAAACUUUACAGAAUGUGGAACACUUCCCAUUUUUGCUGAAGUAGUUCAAGGGGUAGGCUGUUAAUAUGCUACGGGCUAGGCAUAGAGAUUCUCUAAGGAACAGAUCUUGCAGCUUGCUCUGUUGUAUUCAUUGGAGGAUCAUGCUUGGCAUUUUAUACGGAAGUGAUUGAUCCACAUUGUUUUGCUUUGUUAGUAAAACCAAACUGUAAAUUCUGAAGCUAGAGGGCAACCAGGAAUGCACCCUAAUUAGUUAUUUCUUGGUUUA